UACGGAGGGAGCUAGCGUUGUUCGGAAUUACUGGGCGUAAAGCGCGCGUAGGCGGCUUUGUAAGUUAGAGGUGAAAGCCCGGAGCUCAACUCCGGAACUGCCUUUAAAACUGCAUCGCUUGAAUCCAGGAGAGGUGAGUGGAAUUCCGAGUGUAGAGGUGAAAUUCGUAGAUAUUCGGAAGAACACCAGUGGCGAAGGCGACUCGCUGGACA
rnacentral:rRNA from 1 species